rnacentral:rRNA from 1 species
AGUGAACGCUGGCGGUAGGCCUAACACAUGCAAGUCGAACGGCAGCACAGUAAGAGCUUGCUCUUACGGGUGGCGAGUGGCGGACGGGUGAGGAAUACAUCGGAAUCUACUUUUUCGUGGGGGAUAACGUAGGGAGACUUACGCUAAUACCGCAUACGACCUACGGGUGAAAGCAGGGGAUCUUCGGACCUUGCGCGAUUGAAUGAGCCGAUGUCGGAUUAGCUAGUUGGCGGGGUAAAGGCCCACCAAGGCGACGAUCCGUAGCUGGUCUGAGAGGAUGAUCAGCCACACUGGAACUGAGACACGGUCCAGACUCCUACGGAAGGCAGCAGUGGGGAAUAUUGGACAAUGGGCGCAAGCCUGAUCCAGCCAUACCGCGUGGGUGAAGAAGGCCUUCGGGUUGUAAAGCCCUUUUGUUGGGAAAGAAAAGCAGCAGGUUAAUACCCCGCUGUUCUGACGGUACCCAAAGAAUAAGCACCGGCUAACUUCGUG